UGAAUGUGAAGCCUCUCCUGUUGCAGCGGUCCAACAAGUGCUCCUUAGAGGCAAACUGCAUCUGAAUUUGAAACCUACAAUUUAGCAUUUGAAGUGACUUUUAGUCACUGCUUACAGAUGAAGUUGCUGUUCAAGACACAAGAGCAAGCCAGGAUUCUUUUUGAUGAUAAAUGGAGCUGCAUGGAAGUGGAGGACAUUUUUAACCUGAAAUGUUUUUUUAGUGUUCUCUGAAAGAAGGCUGGCUUCAUAUCACUAAAGAAUUGAAGUGUUAAUUUUGACAACUCAUUGACUCCAGGCUAUGGACACAACACACUGCCUGACAAGCUGAAAACAACAAGUGAAGCUCUGCACUGCAAGGAGAUGCAGUAAUGAGAAACAGUGCACUUGCUAAUUCUGCCAGACCUCUGUCUCCUCUGGCACAAGAACCUGGUCAGAAAACCCAUGGGAGGAAGAAGAAGAAUAAGACAUCAGACACACAGUUUUAGAUUUUCAGAUUUCAUCAUGGGAAGAAGAGAAUGUCACUGGAGGGAGAAGAGGAGAUUUGAAGUAUAUCAAAGAGAACUUUGUUAGCAGCAUGAGAAUAAAGGAGUUUGGCUAAGCAGCUUUUAUGAAGUACAAAAUUCCUAAGACCAGCUGUGAAAUUUCAAGAGGAGAAGAGAAAACCUUAUUCUUUUCCAGUCCUAGAAGAGUAUUCUAAAAUAUUCCCUGAAGCUGCUAAAAGGACAUUUCCCAGACUACAUACCUUGAAGGCUGGGCCAAGAACAGUUGAGGAGUGAUGCUGCAGCCGCAGUGAACUCACAGAGAUUGACCUUUACAAAGAACCUGCACUCAGGAGCUGUGGCAGAGAGAUUUAAUAUUGCCAAGUCCAAGGAGACUUUGAGGACGAUCUGACGCAAAGACUUCACUGAAACCCUUCCCUUGAGGAAUGUCCCAAAGUUUGAAAUGCAUACAGCUGGGCAAUUUAUGGCUUUCCCCCUGUGUACACAUGACUCCAUCUCUACCAAGUAUUUCUGCCUGUUCUGACCUAUGGAGCAGGAGAGACUAAAAAUUAUUAGGGUUGGCUCCAGAGCAGCCCAGCUGUGGAUGUCACUGCCACAGAGGAAGCUGGCUUGAAACCAUCUAAUUAUGAGCCUUUGCCUUGGGCACAGAUUGAAAGAGCUACUUAAUCAACACUCAGCCAGACAAUCUGCAUUCCAGGAACUGGUAGGUUUUGCAUCCUUGCCAGGUGUAAUAUCCUGCAGUCCAGACUGCCUUGUUUGCCAAAGCACACGGUAUCUGCAGCAAGGACCUCAUAGUGAGCCAAAAGAUACACACAAUUGGAUUGAAAUCAUCACAACAGCAGUCCCAACAAAUUAUCUUUUUUUGAUGACUGGAGGAAAAGGGAGCAAGAAAGGAAGAGAAGAUAAAUUUUCAGACUAACCAUGCCCUUUUGCACAGGACAUUCAGCAGCAUUUGAAAAGCUGAUACAAAAGCAAAGGAAUCUGCUUCUACUAGGCAUUGUUGUUACCACUGCAGAGUUGAAUUAACCACAAAGGUCUGUCCAGUUCAGAAAUUUGCUUCCAACUGCAGCCAGUCCAGAUGCUUCUGGGAAGCCCACAAGCAGCACAGCAGAAAAGCAAAGCAAUAGUUGCUCCCUAUUGUUUGUUCCCAACACCUGAUACCCCAAAUCUCCUUACAACCCAGAUUUAACACACUCAUCUGCUUGCAUAUGGUGCCAAACUAUGUGACAUUUUCCUUCCCUCCACCACCAUAAAUACUGCUUUGAAAAAAUACAACUUUUCAGUUUGAUUACUGUUCAAAUACUUUUCAACUGAACAGACAUAUAUUAAA